UGUAACUUUUAUCCCAGAUAGAUGGAAUCCUGGUGUGAUUGGGGGCAGCUGCCGAGUUACUCUGCUGCAGGACAUGACUGGGCAAUGCGCUGCAUCUACUGGGAUGCUGUGGGUCAUGCAGCUGCUCAUGAGGAACUUGGCUGAGCUGAGCCUGGAGUGUGUCUGCAACACGGGUUCUUCUAGUUCCAUGCCUGCAGCUGAGGAGGCAGAGGGCGAUUUGGUGAGUCAGCCACUUUCUGCAAAGUGUUUUUUACAGCUAUGGAGUAUUUGCUGUCUGAGUUGUAUCCACAUCUUCCUGACCAUAACCCCAUAAAAACUCAUCUGAAAGAGCUAAAAAAAAGAGGGAGAGGAUAUCAAAGACAUCCACCUUCCCUUUGCCUUGUUGAGGAACUAUCUCCAUUGCAGAGAUUAGAUUUGAAGCAGAAAUGCAGGCAUAAGUUUUUUAAUAAUUAUUUUCUACAGUUUGGCAUGCAAAAUAUAAAUGUAGAGAUGCAUUAUGACAAGAACAUUUCUCAUAAGUAUGUCAGAAGUGUAUGGUUCUGUAUUUGAAAUUAAAGUAGCCUUUGGCAAACCGUC